GCGGACGUAGUGCACGGUGCAUCACUGCAUUCUGUUCAGGCUGACCGAGAUAAUUGAACGCAGUUUGACGGGGUUCGACUCCCCGCGUCCGCA